UCCCUUAUAGCUCAGUGGGUAAAAGAGUCUGCCUGAAAGGCAGGAGACCUGGGUUCGAUUCCUGGGUUGGGAA
rnacentral:tRNA from 1 species